rfam:Myotis davidii contig174470, whole genome shotgun sequence.
GGCCUCCCUCUGUGGGCCAAUCGAUCUGGGGGCCUCGUGAUCGAUUGCCCCACAGAGGGAGGCC